rnacentral:pre_miRNA from 1 species
CGUUUUAGUCAUUGAAACCGAAGCUGGGAGAACCGACCUCUACCUUUCACAUCGGCCCGGCUUCGGCUUGAGAUCGGUUCUCCCAGCUUCGGCUUCAGUGACUAAAACGCA